CUCUCCAAGUAGGUCCUCGUUCAGGUGGCCUCACUAGAGACGUCGCAUGCGAUAUGGACGGCGCUGUCCACCAUGUUCGCUGUAGUCUCUCUCGCGCGCGCCAACAACCUUCGUGCCGCCCUCACCAACAACCAAAAGGGCACGUAGUCUGCCUCAACAUACUUCGGCUACAUGCGAUCUCUCAGAGAUGAGCUCGCGGCGGUCGAGAAACCCAUCGGAGAACCGGAGCUCAUCACAUUCAUCGUGUCCGGCCUCGACAUGGAGUACCAACCACUGAUCUCGGCGCUUGAUGUCCGCACCGAGCCCGUCACGGUGGACCUCCUCUUCUCCCUCGUGUCCAACUUCGACCAGCGGGUAGAACUCUACCAUGGUUAUGGUUCUAGAGGCUUCAAAUCUUCAGCAAACUUUGCAUCUCGCGGCAGGUAG
rnacentral:rRNA from 1 species